AUGUUGUACCAACAGUGGAGACCUAACUACUGCCGAAGUAGGAGGCUGAGAUUGCAAAGCCCUGGGGGCAGGGCCCUGCCUUUGCACUUCCCAUUCAAUUCCAGGGGCUUUGGUGUUCAACCAAGGAAAUCCUCAGGUUCCGGAUGGGUCAGGACGGGGGUCCAAGUCGCGGUCCGAGGGAGGGGAGAUGCGACUGUCAGCGCCGUUCCCGAGCCUGCUGGACCGGAGCCCGUCACGUCCCCGCCCUUGGGUGCGCGUUGGUCCCCGGACCCCGCCCUUCAGCAUAGCCUUGCAGAUGGGCCACAGCUGCGGCGCAACGUGCCCGACUCCGCGGCUGGACCCCGACUCCCAGGGCGCCGGGUCCCCGCAACACCUCGGCUCUCCGGAGUCCGCGGAGCUCCCAGCCCAGCGCGAGCGUCCCCCGGCCGGGUUUUGAGGCUCCUUCCCGGGAGAGCACGGGUCGGGCCGGCCUCGCCUCGCCCGCCCGCCCGCACACGGCCCCUGCGCUGGCACUUACAGGGCUCGGCCGCUGCCCCGCGAGCGCGUUCCCCGGGGGUCCAUGGCGCUUCCGGACCCGCGAGUCAGGCCGCGGCGUCUCGCAGCACCGCCCAGAAAAUGGACGCCGGCGGCUCGGCUCGGCCGGCCCGGCCCGCCCCCGGCGCGGGGUUGGGGACGCCACCCGGCCGGGAAGAAGGCUCCUCGGCCUCAGCCGCGGGCCGGGCUCCGGGGCACCAACGAGCGAGCCCAGGCCCAGGCCUCGGGAGGACAGGGGCAGGGCCGGGACGUGGGGGCGGGGACACCUCGGCCCCGCAAAACCCCAAACCCAACCUGGACGCGACGGGAAGAGAUAGUACCUCACUAGAAGUUUCUCAGAAACCAUGGACCUAAUCCUCCUAUGCUUUUUAACCAUGAGAACCUGACCGAGUCGUUGAGCUUCAUAAUUAGGAGAAAAGUUUCUAACCUUUAAAAUAUGUCUAAGGCACCAAAAUACGUAUCAUCCAUUAUGGAUCCUUAGAAGAGAGAUUUAAUUUGGGCCAAAGUCCAGAAUGGAAUUAGUCACUUACCUAUAGGAGAGGAGUUAUAAAGUGGCACCGCAGACAGACUAAAACCUCAGGUGAUUUAUAAUAUAUGCUGCAAAAA
rnacentral:lncRNA from 1 species